rnacentral:rRNA from 1 species
GAUGAACGCUAGCUACAGGCUUAACACAUGCAAGUCGAGGGGAAACGACAUCGAAAGCUUGCUUUUGAUGGGCGUCGACCGGCGCACGGGCGAGUAACGCGUAUCCAACCUGCCCAUCACUUGGGAAUAACCUUGCGAAAGUAAGACUAAUACCCAAUGACAUCCCACGAAGACAUCUGAAUGGGAGUAAUGAUUUAUCUGUGAUGGAUGGGGAUGCGUCUGAUUAGCUUGUUGGCGGGGUAACGGCCCACCAAGGCAACGAUCAGUAGGGGUUCUGAGAGGAAGGUCCACCACAUUGGAACUGAGACACGGCCCAAACUCCUACGGGAGGCAGCAGUGUGGAAUAUUAGUCGCUGGGCGAGAACCUGAACCAGCCAAGUAGCGUGCAAGCUGCCGGCCCUAUGGAUUGUAAUCUGCUUUUAUAAGGGAAUAAAGUGGGUCUCGUGAGACUUUUUGCAUGUACCUUAUGAAUAAGGACCGGCUAAUUCCGUG